UAUUGGGCGUAAAGCGUCCGCAGGCGGCUUAGCAAGUCUGCUGUCAAAUACCAGAGCUCAACUCUGGGUCGGCGGUGGAAACUGGCAAGCUAGAGUACAGUAGGGGUAGAGGGAAUUCCCAAUGUAGCGGUGAAAUGCGUAGAGAUUGGGAAGAACACCGUUGGCGAAAGCGCUCUACUGGGCUGUAACUGACGCUGAGGGACGAAAGCUAGGGUAGCGAAAGGGAUUAGAUACCCCUGUAGUCUUAGCUGUAAACGAUGGAGACUAGGCGUGGCUUGUAUCGACCCGAGCCGUGCCGAAGCCAACGCGUUAAGUCUCCCGCCUGGGGAGUACGCACGCAAGUGUGAAACUCAAAGGAAUCGACGGGGGCCCGCACAAGCGGUGGAGUAUGUGGUUUAAUUCGGUGCAACGCGAAGAACCUUACCAAGGCUUGACAUCCCGCGAAUCCUGGUGAAAGCCGGGAGUGCCUUCGGGAGCGCGGAGACAGGUGGUGCAUGGCUGUCGUCAGCUCGUGUCGUGAGAUGUUGGGUUAAGUCCCGCAACGAGCGCAACCCUUGUCCUUAGUUGCCAGCAUUCAGUUGGGCACUCUAGGGAGACUGCCGGUGACAAACCGGAGGAAGGUGGGGAUGACGUCAAGUCAUCAUGCCCCUUACGUCUUGGGCUACACACGUACUACAAUGGUUGGGACAACGGGCAGCGAAGCGGCAACGCCGAGCGAAUCCCAGCAAACCCAGCCUCAGUUCAGAUCGCAGGCUGCAACUCGCCUGCGUGAAGGAGGAAUCGCUAGUAAUCGCAGGUCAGCAUACUGCGGUGAAUUCGUUCCCCGGGCCUUGUACACACCGCCCGUCACACCAUGGAAGUUGGCCAUGCCCGAAGUCGUUACUCCAAC
rnacentral:rRNA from 1 species